GACUUCUAACGUGCAGUCCAACGUGACGGGGACCCUGCCUGAGACAUAUGCAGCCUCACAGGGCCAAAGCCAACUCACAAUGAGGUGACGGACACGGUGCCAUCCGGCUAACCUUUGGGAGCAGAUGAGCAUUUGAGGUAUCCCGGAAGAUGACAGCACAUUGUCCAACUCCGGUCAGAGCCGGUGACCCGAGGACCUGCCUCAGUGACAGUGAGUAGAGGGAUCUUUGGGGCUGGGGCCACGUGCCACACUACUCAGAUAUUGUGUAUGG